AGCAUGCAGUCGAACGGGAUCUUAGAGAGUGGAGACUUCGGUCAAAGCAUUCUAAGUGAGAGUGGCGAAAGGGUGAGGAACGCUUGGGUAACUUGCCUCGGAGAUUGGGAUAACCUGCCGAAAGGCGGGCUAAUACCGAAUAAGACCACAGUAUCUAUGGAUACAGUGGUAAAAAUAGGCCUCUAUUUAUAAGCUUUUGCUCCGAGAUAGGCCCGAGUCUUAUUAGCUUGUUGGUGAGGUAACGGCUCACCAAGGCUAUGAUGAGUAGCUGGUCUGAGAGGAUGGUCAGCCACACUGGGACUGAGACACUGCCCAGACUCCUACGGGAGGCUGCAGUCGAGAAUCUUUCGCAAUGGGGGAAACCCUGACGAAGCGACGCCGCGUGAGCGAUGAAGGCCUUCGGGUUGUAAAGCUCUGUCACAAGGGACGAACAGCAGUACUAAUAAUAUUGGUACUGCCUGACGGUACCUUGAGAGGAAGCCCCGGCUAACUCCGUGCCAGCAGCCGCGGUAAUACGGAGGGGGCAAGCGUUGUUCGGAUUUACUGGGUGUAAAGGGUGUGUAGGUGGCAUAGUAAGUGAGACGUGAAAUCUCCGAGCUUAACUUGGAAACUGCAUUUCAUACUGCUAAGCUAGAGUACCGCAGAGGCAAAUGGAAUUCUCGGUGUAAGGGUGAAAUCUGCAGAUAUCGAGAAGAACACCAGUGGCGAAGGCGAUUUGCUGGGCGGAUACUGACGCUGAAACACGAAAGCUAGGGUAGCGAACGGGAUUAGAUACCCCGGUAGUCCUAGCCGUAAACGAUGGACACUAGGUGUGGGAAGGGUUACCUUUCUGUGCCGCAGCUAACGCAUUAAGUGUCCCACCUGGGGAGUACGGUCGCAAGACUGAAACUCAAAGGAAUUGACGGGGACCCGCACAAACGGUGGAGCAUGUGGUUUAAUACGACGAUACGCGUGGAACCUUACCAGGGCUUGACAUGUAUUAGAAAGUCUAUGGAAACAUAGACCCUUCCUUCGGGACUAUUACACAGGUGUUGCAUGGCUGUCGUCAGCUCGUGUCGUGAGAUGUUGGGUUAAGUCCCGCACGAGCGCACCCCUACGUAGUGCAGCAGCUAGCUGGGCACUCUAACAGAACUGCCGCAGAAUAAUGGUGGAGAAAGUG
rnacentral:rRNA from 1 species